rnacentral:lncRNA from 1 species
CAUUGUAUGGAUAUAGGACCCUUUGUUUAUUCAUUCAUCAGUUGAUGGGCAUUUGUGUCAUUUCCACCUUUUGGCUAUUAUGAACCAUGUUGCUGCAAACAAUUGUAUACAAGAUUCUGUGUUCUCAUAUGCUUUUAUUUCUCUUGGUAUAUGAAUAAAUACCUAGGAGUGGGCAUGUUGGAUCCAGUGGCAACUCCAAGGUGACUGCAUCAUUGCAUGCUCUCACCAGCAACAUUGCCCUCUUUUUACAGAUGAAGAGUGAGGAUGGAAUUCUGUGAUGAUCCUGCACUUAAAGGACUAUUUAUUAAGGAAGAAGAGCUGCCAGUGGAAUUGGAAAAAGAGCAAUUGGAAGUGGGAGGAGAGACCAUCGUCAUGUAUGAAACGGUCAGAGUGAAAAUAAUUACAGGCAGCGGAAAGACUGACCACAUGGUUUUCAAGAGGAUGAGAAAGCAGUUUGUCGUAGCGGUUAGGUGCUCCAGAUGUCAGAUCACCUGCUUCACGAUUUCAGCUGAGACUUGCAAAUUCAUUUCGUCCAUGUCCAUAAGCUAAUUUCAAGACUUGGUCCCCGAAGCAAAACUGAAGGCUAUAAAAAUACCCCCCUGGUACAUCUUCUGAGCUGAAAGACAUACGCUGCAGGCCUGUUUUCAUGGUUAGGACCGCUUCUACUUUGGGGCUGCCCCGGAAUUUUCAGAAAUGACUGGGAAGAUCCAAGGGACCCACAGAGAUUCGCCAGGAGCAGCUGGCUUCGUUUCCCUGCAGUAUCCUGUGGAGAGGUGGGUGGGUCAUGGGAAGGGCUUGUGGGAUGGUUGCCAGUGGCACCAGGAAGCAGGAAGCCAGUUCAUAUGUGAGUGCCAUCUGGUGUGAGAAUAUUCCUCGCUCUCUUCUGCCCAGGCUGGCCUGUGGCUGAGUGGACGGCAGAGGCAGGGAGGCCCGAUGCGCCCCCACCUCCCCAACAGGCCGCCUAGGAAGGAAGUCCAGUGGAUGUUCCCAUGUUCCUCGGGUGACAGAUAUUCACGUCCCAGGUGCAGCUGUGAUCAGCAAGUACGUCAAGAGGGGUGUGUGUGUGUGUAAUGGGAGAGAGCGCGUGUCAUCUGAGGACAUGUUGUUCUAACUUUGGCCUCUACCUUUGUUCCUGCGCCAGAAUGGAUCGUCUCGGACCCGGAGGCACCGGCUGGGGGAGAUUCCUUCAUUUCCUUUGGUCUAGGAAGCGGAGGAUAGAGAGCGCAUACCCAGGAUCUAUUACAAACGUUCUGCCGGCCAAAAGCAAGGCAGACCCUCCUUCUCCCUUACCUUCGUGCUGCAAAAAUCAGCAGAAAGAGAAACACUAGUCUUUAUGAGGGGGAAGGAGUUUGCCUUCCCUUAGAGCAGCUAAUUCCCAAAGCAUUCCCAUUGGGUCCUGCCAGCUUCUGACACAGACAUGAACUUGAACCCUGGCUCAGCCACUUCAGUGCCACAUAGCCUUGGGCAGGUCGCUUUACCCUUUUUUCUUUAUCUGAAAACGAGAAAAAGGAGCCCUGCUCAUUUGAUAGCAUUGCUGUGGGGUAAUGGG